rnacentral:rRNA from 1 species
UACAGGGGGGGCAAGCGUUGUUCGGAAUUACUGGGCGUAAAGGGCUCGUAGGCGGCCAAUUAGGUCCGACGUGAAAUCCCCAGGCUUAACCUGGGAACUGCGUCGGAUACUGAUUGGCUUGAAUCCGGGAGAGGGAUGCGGAAUUCCAGGUGUAGCGGUGAAAUGCGUAGAUAUCGUGAGGAACACCAGAGGCGAAGGCGGCUACCUGGACAAUUGCUGACGCUCAGGCACGAAAGCGUGGGGAGCAAAAGGG